rnacentral:lncRNA from 1 species
AUGCUUGGUACUGCAGGCCCAUGUGACUCAGGCCAGCUUCCCCGGGGUGGGGCUGCGUCCUCACCCUGGCUGCAGCAUCCCCUCACCCAGGCUCAAGGGCCAGGGCCACCCUGCAUCAGCUCAGGGCUGGAGGAUUUGGGACAGGGAGAGGCCAUGCUACGUCUGAGGUGCCCCCCCCCACCUGGGGACCCUGCCGAGGAGCCCGACUGCCCCGGCCUCCCUGGGUGGGCUCCGCCCACGGCGCCAAGCAGGAAGCCAGACGCCCGCCAGCCUGCGGUGUGUGUUACAGGUGGGCGCCAAGCUGAGCGACCUCAGGUCUCUGGAGCUGGAAGCAGAGGAAGAGGAUGCCACAAAGUCCAGCAGGGACCCGCCAGCCUCCAGGGCGGCCCCGGAGGAACACGGCAGGAGAGGCGGGGACCUGAAGGUGCGGCUGCCCCUCCUACCCCUCUUGCGGCCUCUCCCGGAGCCCAGCCUGAGCCCGAGCCUUGUGCCCCGCAGAGGAGGAUGGUUCUGGCCCAGCAGUACCUGGCGCAGGCGUCGGAGGUGCUGCUGCAGUGCCUACACGUGGCCCUUGGCAGUGGCCUCCUGGACGUGGCGGCAGCUGCCAGCCUGGAGAUGGUGGAGUGCGUCGGCGCCCUGGACCCCGCGACUACCUGCCAGUUCCUGGCGCUGUCUCAGAGCUGCUCGGCCUCAGAGACAAUGAGGGGCGUCCUGCUCGCAGCCACGGCCAACACCAGCAGCUCCCAGCUGGCGGCCCUGCUGCAGCUACAGCACCAGCUCCGGCACCAGGACAGGACCACCACCCGCCUGGGCACCAGCGUGGAGCAGAGGCUGGCUGCCGUGUCCAAGGCUUGGCAAAAUCUCUGCGUCACUGAGCAGCACUUUACCCUCUUGAAUGAGAUGCCUCCUACCUUUCGGAUACUCUUUCUGCACCUCUCACCGGACAGGUCCCAUCUGUACAGCGCUGCCUACGAGAAACCCAAGUUCAUUCCUAUAGCCAAAGGAAAGGAGCAGCAUGUGGGAGGCCCCUGCAAGGUGAUGCGGCUGGCCAUGAGUCCCACGGCCUUCUCCCACCUGCUGGCCUGUGCCCAGGAGUUCCGGAAGCAGAUCCAGGCCCAGGUGUACGCAGAGGACCUGCUUCUGAGCACAGGCUUGGUGAGGUCCUCCAGGCUCCAAAGCCCGCCUUCUGCGUGGCGCGUGCUCCCCGCCCCUGAGAGCCAGAACCCCAGGAAGGGGUGGGCAGGGGCAGGACACUGGACCAGGCUGCUGAAGGGCUUGGACCACCCUGACACCAAGGCACUGCCCAACUCCCAGGCCAAGCUCCACGCUGGGGGAGAGCACUUGGGCUCCUUGGCCAUGUCUGAUCCCUGAAGUGCAGUGGGGCCUGGCCAACUCUGCUCCUCAGAGCUUAGGGUUGCCGGGGCCCAGCUGUCCCUGCAGGCAAGACCAUUCCGUGAUGCAGGCAGAGGAGACGGGUGGGGCCUGUGGUGUCGGGUGACCCUCCAAGGGAUGGGUUGAGGUGACCCCAGGGAGGUGAGGGUGAACUCCAGGGAGGGUGAGGGACACCCAGGGGAUGGGUGAGUACCCCCAGGGUAUGGGCAGGUGACCCCCCCAGGGGAUGGGUGAGGUGACCCCCCAGGGGAUGGCAGGUGACCCCGGGGAUGGUUCGAGGUGACCCCAGGCGAUGGG